rnacentral:rRNA from 1 species
GAUGAACGCUGGCGGCGUGCUUAACACAUGCAAGUCGAACGAAGCACUUUACCUGAUUUCCUUCGGGGAUGAUUGUUCUGUGACUGAGUGGCGGACGGGUGAGUAACGCGUGGAUAACCUGCCUCACACAGGGGGAUAACAGUCGGAAACGACUGCUAAUACCGCAUAAGCGCACAGCACCGCAUGGUGCAGUGUGAAAAACUCCGGUGGUGUGAGAUGGAUCCGCGUCUGAUUAGCUUGUUGGCGGGGUAACGGCCCACCAAGGCGACGAUCAGUAGCCGGCCUGAGAGGGCGACCGGCCACAUUGGGACUGAGACACGGCCCAGACUCCUACGGGAGGCAGCAGUGGGGAAUAUUGCACAAUGGGGGAAACCCUGAUGCAGCGACGCCGCGUGAGCGAUGAAGUAUUUCGGUAUGUAAAGCUCUAUCAGCAGGGAAGAUAAUGACGGUAC